AAAAUGUCUAAAAGGCUGUCAGCGGCAUAUGUAUACAUCGUUUUAUUGAUCGAGACAGAUCGAUAGACAUACGCGAGAUGUGUUGUAUAUUGAUAUAGAUCGACAGACACACGAGAUGUGUUUUAGAGAAAAAUACAAACACCGACAGGACCACGUGGGAAAUGGGGGCUCCCGGUAGUGUGAACUAAAGGCUUGUGUGGCUCAACUAGCUGUGAAUUGGAAGAAGAGAAGAGGGACGUUAGUUAGUGAAAGACUUUAAUGGCUGCAGAGUCGUCAUUUCUUGACAGCAAGGACGUUCAAGCGGAGGUUCGUAGUUGGUUCGAGUUGCUUCGCACUUUGCACCGCUGGGUGGCAGUGCUGCACAUUGUUUGCCAACCGCCAUCCAACUCCACGAGAAGAAGUUUCACGAUGACGUAAGAACGGCCCAUGUGCUUGUUUGCGAGUCGAGCUGCUUACGUUUAGCACGCGGCCAACUAUGUGCUAUUUCGUCGUGACUUUUCCGUUUGGUCGCGAUAUUUGAGCUGACGGACUUAGGAGAGUUUACGUUCUAACUGGCGCAAGGUACACUUGAUUUGAAUUGAGAGGUGCAGACACUUUCAAAGCACGAUGUGAGGGGAAGGACGGAGUCGAGUUCGACUUACCUUAAAAGCUGAGAAGAUUCCCGCCAGCGUUGGUUUCUUGCUUGUUUCACGCCCAAAGUUGGUGUGCAGAAGUGAUGAGCUAAAAGGCCGUCUGAAGCCCCUCUCCGAGCAGUCUGUUCACAGGCAGGGGGAGUGUGAUGUCACCGGUCUGAAGCGUGUUCUGAUCCGCCACACAUCACCAUCUUGUCCUGUGCUGUGCAGUGCUUCCCAUUAAUUUUGCUCUCCUUGCUUGCAGACACAAGCCUGGCAAAGAGGCACCAUCGUGGGAUCUAAUACUGUGCGCUUUGGGUUGGACUGCCAUCACGUGAAGAGAUUGAAAGCGCAGCCUCUCCCUGUCCAGAAGGCUGUGUGCCAUGCAUUUAGGUAUGGAGGUAAAUUGGGGUCAAACGUUUUGUACUUAAAAAAACAAAACUCGUACUUGAAAAAAUAAACCUUGAAUCUGAAACUUAAAUGUGCAGAGCUUAAAACUUGAAAAAUAAAACAAUGCAUUCAAAAUAAAAACACUUGUUUGAA